UCCAUCUCGCCGGUGCUAAAAUCUACUUCUGUUUUCCCACCUCUCACGUCUAAUACGGCCAAUUUUGUUGCUGGCCGUUUAUAAAAACCCUUUUGUGUUCUCACCACGGCUUGUCUAACUUGCCCGUCUUUUGCACGAACUACGGAUACUACUCGUCCCUUAGGCCAACAGUUACGCGUUUCCAGUGCGAAGUACUCCUUCAACGCCGUAUUUAGCAACUCUUCACUCACUCCAUCGCAUAAGCACACAUGGAAGUUCAAAUAUGUAGUUCCUGGAACAUUCUUGGCGAUUCCUAUCAGAAUUCGUGGCUGAACGGCAGUGUACGAGUCAAUCGGCAGGCCCUUUAAAUGCUCGUAAUUGGAUGACAACUGAGGUACUAACAACGACUGCUCAGAUAUGACGAUCUUCAGCCUUACCGAAUCAUUCUCCUGUCGAGUCACUCCGCCAGUCCAUUGCAGACAAAGGGGGGCAGGAGUAC